rnacentral:misc_RNA from 1 species
ACUACGAGGGUAUCUAAUCCUGUUUGCUCCCCACGCUUUCGUGCAUGAGCGUCAGUGUUAUCAGGGAGGCUGCCUUCGCCAUCGGUGUUCCUCCGCAUAUCUACGCAUUUCACUGCUACACGCGAAUUCCACCUCCCUCUGACACACUCUAGCUCGGUAGUUAAAAAUGCAGUUCCAAAAGUUAAGCUCUGGGAUUUCACAUCUUUCUUUCCGAACCGCCUGCGCACGCUUUACGCCCAGUAAUUCCGAUUAACGCUUUACCCUACGUAUUACCGCGGCUGCUGGCACGUAGUUAGCCGGUACUUAUUCUGCAAUUUUUAAGCCAGUUUUCGCACAGGGUGUUAUCCGUGCCGACUAACUUCCUGCCAAAAGUCUUUACAAUAACCCGAAGGCCUUCAUCGCACACGCGAGGUGGCUGGAUGGGGUUUCCCCAUUGUCCAAAAAUUCCCCACUGCGCCCCCCGUA